CUAUGAGUAUGAUGAUGAAUGGUAAAGUUGUUGUUAUAUUUAUUGCAUUCAACUUACUAAGCUUUAUGCUUAUUCCCUAUCCUUUCCAUUUUCUUUUUAGUGCCGCCUAAUUAGUUCGAAGACCAUUGAACGUCGGAGGCAUCGAUCACACUAUCACCAGUAGCACUUGGUAUAGUUAAAUCUUUUGUUUUGAUUAUGGCAUGUAUAGAACCUUGACUUUUUAGUUUUGUGUCAUUAUUAAUUGGCCAAAUGUGUUGACUUACUUUAGCAUUUGAUUCAUUUUGUAUAGGGCCAUGAAAAAUGGCUAAUAUUGAAAGUUAUUAUCUGAAUGCAAGUCAGUCUGUCAUGAAUUUGAAUUUGUUGGCAUGGUUAAAUAUAUGUAAUGUAUAUAGGUCUUAACUAUGGUUGUUUGGUUGAGAACUCAUAUUAAUUAAAUCUUUGAUAUGUUGGUUGAUGUUAGAUUGUGUUUCAGGGUGGCAAAGGCUUUGUAGAUAGCCUUAUAUUGUCCACACCGGUAGACACACGAGCGUGUGUCUAGGCCAUGUGAGAUACACGGUUAGCCCCAUGGGCAUGUUGUUCAAUCGUGUGUCCCCUGCACGUAAAAUUUGCAAGUUAGAAUGCAUGGUAGUAAACACACGGGCAGAGACAUAGCUGUGUGUCUCAGCUGUGUGGAGGACACGGCCUCUAGCCAUAAGCGUGUGCCUUGGCCGUGUGCCCCAAAUUGGGUUCUGACGUCAAAAACAGAAUGUCAAGGUUUUUAGACAUGGGCGUGUCAUGGCCGUAUGAGGGACACGGGCAUGUGUCAGGCCAUGUGAAAACCCUUGUAGGUUCGAAUUUAUAAUUUAAUUCACACGGGUAUGUCUCUAGAUGCUUAGGUCGUGUGUGUCACACGGGCCAUCAGCACAGCCAUGUUAUAAUGACCACACGGGCGUGUUGCCCUUCCACACAAGCGUGUGCCCUGUUUCAAGAGUUAUUUUUAUUUAGUCGAUUUAAGGACCCGAGUUGGUUCCAAAUGGUUUCCAAUGAAAUUUUGAGGCCUCGUAGGCCCACAUUAAGGAGUUUAAAAAAAGUUCGAAAAAGCUUUACAUUUGAUCAAGUCUUGGUGACUCGCAAAUGAUCGUAUGCAUGUGAUUAAGUAUGGUAAUGCCUCAUGCCUAGUCCCAGCCUCAGACUCGGGUAAGGGGUGUUUCAAUGGGAUACUCACUAUGGAAUUCAAUAGGGAAGUGGUGAAAUUCAAUGUCUAUGAGGCCAUGAUCUGCCCUAGCAUGAUUUCUAAUGUUUCUAGAAUUGAUAUAAUCAAUCCUUUAACUGAAUUACAUUUCGAAUAUCAUGACGAUGAUGAAUUACGAGUUGUUCUUUAAAAAAGUCUAAACUUUGAUGUCAUGGAGGAACUAGAGGAGUGGAUAACUGUUGAAGAGUCUGUUCACAAAAAGAGUGGCUCAUAUGGAUGUAACAGCCCGAUUUUGGGCUUAGUCAGAAUAGUGGUUACGAGAUCAUGAAUCCGAAGUCAGAAAAAUUAUUUUUAUUUUUAUUUUGAUGUUAUACAUGAUUAUAUUAGUGCAUGAAAAAUUUGGUGAGGUAAUUUUAGCAUUUGUGAGCUUAAUUUGAAAAAAGAACUAAAUUGCAAAAAGCGUAAAAGUUUCAUUUUAGUUGAUAGAUGUACCACAUAGCUAGAGAAUCAUAAUUGGAGGUCUUUAAAGAGCAAUUAGACUCGUUAGAGAGGUAUGACCGGCCAUAGGAGACAAGGGAGGUCAAAUUGUCAAAUAUUAGAUGAGUAGGUAGCUAAAUUGAUUAAAAACUGAAAUAAAAUAAAGGGAAUAUGAUAUCACCUUCUUAUCUUCUUCACCACCACCAAAAUUUUCAGCAAAGGGAAGGGUUUAGAAGCUUUAAAAUUUUAGCUAGGUUAUCCUCUUGCAAGUAAGUGAUUAAGAUGCUUUUUUUUAUAAUUUUUGAACUUUUGGAACCCUUAUUGCAUGAGCUUGCUAUUAGAGGGACCAUUUUGCAAAAUGGUUGAUAGUCUAGGAUUUUCCAUGAAAGGAUUUAUGAUGUUUGCUGAGUUUUUAUGAAAGAAAAUGAAUAUUAGCUGUGUUGUAAACAACUUUUGUGAAAGAACUUCUCAUGAAAACCCUAAUAGGACCAUUUUGUAUGUUUGCAAAAAUUGAGAGUAAUGUAGUGUAAUAAUGGGCCUCGAUAUAUGAAAGUUAGUGUAAGACCUAUCUAGGAAAUAGCAUCGACUUUAAUUUGCUAGCCAGUGUAGGACCAUGUCUAGGACAUGACGUCAGCAUCUUAUCCCAUGUUCGGGGUUAUUGAGUAUCCAGUAAUAUUUUAAAUGGUUUAACAGAUGAUUCAUGAUUUAUAACGAAAUUAGAAAAGUUAUGACCAUGUGGUGAGUGAUACAGGUACCUAACUGAAAUGUAUAAGAUGUGGGCUCAAUAUAUGCCAUAUGAAUUGUAUUGGAUGGUGAUGAGUAAGUUGUACUUAUGUCUACUUAUUGUAUGCAUGGACAAGCUAUGAAAUGUUAUGAGCAUAUUGUUGUAUGAUAAUUAGUUGAUGUUUAUCUUCAUGCAACUUACUAAGCUUUAUGCUUACCCCUUUUUCCUUUCCAUUUUCUUGUAGUACCGCCAAAGUAGCUUGUGGAUCAUCAUCUUACGUCGGAGAAGCCAGUCACACUAUCAUUUGAAGCACUUGGUAUAGUUAGUUAUUUUAUUUUGAUUAUGGCAUGUAUAGGAGCUUUAAAUCUUGUUUUAAUGUCACAAUAUUUCGGGGCCAAAUGUGUUGGCUUACUUUAGUAUUUGACUCAUUUUGUGAAAUUGUUAUAUGAAUACAAGAAAGUCUU
rnacentral:lncRNA from 1 species